AAAAAAUAAUAAAAGAAACAUACUGUAACUUUAAGCCAUUCUUGACUGUAGGCCAAAGAGAACCCUGUUGAAAUAGAUUGUUCCAUCUCUGCAGGGAAAACAGUCAGGAGGUGGAAAAUCAGAGCCAUGCACUGGGGGACCGGUGCCUGUGGCAGGCGGAUGGCCAUCUGUGUCAUCACUAAAUCCCAGCAGGUGGAUACGUGCAGUAACAGCACCUUCCAGUCGACAGCUGGCACCUCUGUUAAAUAUUUUGUGGCAAUACAUGAAUGCAGAGAUGACCACAAGAAUGCACUACACAUGCUGUGCUGAGGUCUGAGUUAACUGUCUGAAGCCAAAAGAAGCUCUACAGAGACUGCUGAGGACACGCGCUGCAUAAAGCAGCUUUUGACUACUCAGUGACUCAGAGGAAAACCCAGGACGCCCAUUAUAAAAUGUGAAAGAAUGGGGAAGAACUGUCUGUCUGUGGGCAGGAAAUUUCAUGAGUGAGGUCAAGAACCCGGAGCUACAUAUGCAGCUUUUAAAGCACAGAAAAAUGUUGCCGCUAAUAGACUGGGAAGAGAGCUUUUUUAAUGUAGGGUGAUGGAAAAGGUCAGCUCAGUAAUCAGGGCCCAGAAGACUUGCAGAAGACAAGAAAAUGUGUAGCAGCUAUGAAGUUAUGGGGAAUGUAACCACAGUGUUAUUGACUUGGAAAGUGGAGGAAAAGUUUUUAGGUCACUCACUUUUCCAUCUAGUCCUUUCAGGUAAGCACCUUGCAUCAAGGCGUUUUUUACCCUUUGUCUAUUUGCCUCCUUUUCAUCCCCAUCCUUCUUUUCCAGCUCUUACUUCUAUUCUCAGUACUACAUCCUCUUUAGAGCUUCCUUCCAUUCUAAUCCUGUCUUUUAUCUGCUGUGUUUACACUUACACUUUGUAAAAGCCCACCAGCUGAGGCUGCCCAGGGCCCCAUCCAACCUGGCCUUGAGUGCCUCCAGGGAUGGGGCACCGCAGCUUCUCUGGGCAGCUGUGCCAGGGCUUCACUGCCCUCUGAGUAAAGGAUUUACUCCUAACACCUAAUCUAAAUUCCCCCUCUUUUAGUUGAAAACUAAAAUUAUAUCAGAUACUGCAAAAAGUUCAUCUCCCUCCUGCUUGUAAACUCCCCUCAACUACUGGAAGGCCACACUGAGAUCUUCCCAGAGUUUUCUCCAGGCUGAAUAAGUCCAGCUCCCUCAGCCCUUCUUCAUAGGAGAGGUGCUUCAACCGUAGAUUUCUGAGGGAGAUCUGGCUGUUUUUCCUCCUAUGUUCAGCAGUGUGGAUGAGACAUCUGAUCUAGGCCCUCACUGUUACCUCCAAGCUCAGGGAAAUCCCACAUGUUUUGCAGCAUCGCAUACCACCUUCUCAGAGGUGUUCAUAUUGCUGUGGACAUGAACACUGUUCAUGCCACUUGCUUUGAGGCUGAGGAAAACAGACAGAACUCUGGCUUGCUGUAUAUAUGUGCUAAAAACAUAAAAUCCAUGGGGGGAAUUAUUUCUGUUUGUGACCUUCAGGGAAGAGCUUAAACAGGAGCUACUCUGCGCUGAAUGAGCUCUUAGUGACAGGAGUCUAAUGGGCUGCCUUAUCUCUAGCAUUCCCUCAGGCUGCUCUGUCUGGCUGGGGCACUGCAGGGCUUGAGUACACCGUGCUGUAGAUGUAGAAUGGAAGAGGGAGAGGAAGGCACAAAAGCAUACGGUGAAGGCCAGCACAUUUCCUGUGCAGUUCAGCAGCAUUAAUAUGAUGCAGCAGUUAACAAGGUUGCUCACUUCCAGCUCAUGAUUUAAUUCCCCAGCGUAUCAGUGUGUUACUUAACUUCUAUCUGUUGCAUUGAGUAUGUGCUAGAUCUCCACAUCAUCUUUCAUAUUCUACUGGCUGGAUUAUAGCAUGUCUCUGGAUACCAUUCGUAGGAAUAAGCACAGAAAAUUUGGCAGCUCAGCUCAGACAGAGAUAUGAGCCUGAUUUGGAACCUAUCACUUGUUCUACCUGCUCCUAUAUUUUCUGCAUGCUGAGCAAAAACUUCUUUCCUCAGCACUUGUUGAAAUCAUUUAAAUUUUCCUACUUGUCUAUUGCACCAAACAUAGGUGGGAUUCAACAGUUAGUUUUGUGGGGGACGGCUGAAGGAGGAAAUGGAGCAAGCUAGUGCAGAAAAUGAAAGUCAUUGGCCUUUUAAAAAAGACACACAUUUAAGUGACUGAAAAAUAUCUUCUUAUCCCUUCUAAAAUCCAUUAUUCUAAAUUUAUCAUUGUCAGAUCUUAUGCAUUGGCUUUUCCUGAAGAAAGAAUGUAUAGAAAGCUCUAAGCUUUAUUAUAUUUCACUCAGAAUGCAUUUAAAGUUCACCAGAAAUGAGAGUUACUCUCUAGUCUUGUUUGUUGUAGUCAGCAUAAUGGAAGUAUAUAUUUCACAUAGUGACAGAAAUACAUCUGCAAGUUAACUAGUAAUGCACAUUUCUGGUUAUAGAAAUGGGCACAAUUCACAAUUCUUGAAUAAGUUACAACAGUGCAGAAAAUAUAAAUAAAUAGAUGUUGAGUAUUGAAAGUGCUGGUCAACAGACGUGAAGAAAAUCUUGAUUUUUGUUUACAUGUAACAUUUUUCAGAGAGUUUUAUAUUAUGUAAUUCCAUUCUCCUAAAUUUCUUACUUCUAGCAAACUUUCCCCUAAAAAUCUCAACCCAGUUUUCCAUUGGGAAAAAAAAAAAGAAAGAAAAAAAAAGAAAGAAAGGGAAAA